UUUCCAUCAUUUCUACAACUUAGCUGGGGGUGAUUUGCGGCCCUAAACUCUGCCAUGAUUGUGCUGCUGCCGAACAAGGACGGGGCAACUAGUAUGGCUGACUACAGGCCCAUCAGUCUUAUUCACUCCAUCGCCAAACUAAUCGCCAAGGUUUUAUCCAUGAGGCUGGCCCCGAUCAUCAGCACACUGAUUUUGCUUGCCCAAACUGCCUUCCAGCGUUCUAAGUGCAUACAUGAC
rnacentral:rRNA from 1 species